UACAGAGGUCCCGAGCGUUGUUCGGAUUCACUGGGCGUAAAGGGUGCGCAGGUGGGUUGGCAAGUUUGAUGUGAAAGCCCCGGGCUUAACCCGGGAAUGGCAUUGAAUACUGCUGAUCUGGAGGAUCGGAGGGGGACUGGAAUUCUUGGUGUAGCAGUGAAAUGCGUAGAUAUCAAGAGGAACACCGGUGGCGAAGGCGGCGAGCUGGUCCAUUACUGACGCUGAGGCGCGACAGCGUGGGGAGCAAACAGG
rnacentral:rRNA from 1 species